UGUAAGCCUGUGAAGGUGUACUGUAAGGUAUGCUGGAGGUAUCAGAAGUGCGAAUGCUGACAUAAGUAACGAUAAAGCGGGUGAAAAGCCCGCUCGCCGGAAGACCAAGGGUUCCUGUCCAACGUUAAUCGGGGCAGGGUGAGUCGACCCCUAAGGCGAGGCCGAAAGGCGUAGUCGAUGGGAAACAGGUUAAUAUUCCUGUACUUGGUGUUACUGCGAAGGGGGGACGGAGAAGGCUAUGUUGGCCGGGCGACGGUUGUCCCGGUUUAAGCGUGUAGGCUGGUUUUCCAGGCAAAUCCGGAAAAUCAAGGCUGAGGCGUGAUGACGAGGCACUACGGUGCUGAAGCAACAAAUGCCCUGCUUCCAGGAAAAGCCUCUAAGCAUCAGGUAACAUCAAAUCGUACCCCAAACCGACACAGGUGGUCAGGUAGAGAAUACCAAGGCGUUUGAGAGAACUCGGGUGAAGGAACUAGGCAAAAUGGUGCCGUAACUUCGGGAGAAGGCACGCUGAUAUGUAGGUGAAGUCCCUCGCGGAUGGAGCUGAAAUCAGUCGAAGAUACCAGCUGGCUGCAACUGUUUAUUAAAAACACAGCACUGUGCAAACACGAAAGUGGACGUAUACGGUGUGACGCCUGCCCGGUGCCGGAAGGUUAAUUGAUGGGGUCAGCGCAAGCGAAGCUCUUGAUCGAAGCCCCGGUAAACGGCGGCCGUAACUAUAACGGUCCUAAGGUAGCGAAAUUCCUUGUCGGGUAAGUUCCGACCUGCACGAAUGGCGUAAUGAUGGCCAGGCUGUCUCCACCCGAGACUCAGUGAAAUUGAACUCGCUGUGAAGAUGCAGUGUACCCGCGGCAAGACGGAAAGACCCCGUGAACCUUUACUAUAGCUUGACACUGAACAUUGAGCCUUGAUGUGUAGGAUAGGUGGGAGGCUUUGAAGUGUGGACGCCAGUCUGCAUGGAGCCGACCUUGAAAUACCACCCUUUAAUGUUUGAUGUUCUAACGUGGACCCGUGAUCCGGGUUGCGGACAGUGUCUGGUGGGUAGUUUGACUGGGGCGGUCUCCUCCUAAAGAGUAACGGAGGAGCACGAAGGUUGGCUAAUCCUGGUCGGACAUCAGGAGGUUAGUGCAAUGGCAUAAGCCAGCUUGACUGCGAGCGUGACGGCGCGAGCAGGUGCGAAAGCAGGUCAUAGUGAUCCGGUGGUUCUGAAUGGAAGGGCCAUCGCUCAACGGAUAAAAGGUACUCCGGGGAUAACAGGCUGAUACCGCCCAAGAGUUCAUAUCGACGGCGGUGUUUGGCACCUCGAUGUCGGCUCAUCACAUCCUGGGGCUGAAGUAGGUCCCAAGGGUAUGGCUGUUCGCCAUUUAAAGUGGUACGCGAGCUGGGUUUAGAACGUCGUGAGACAGUUCGGUCCCUAUCUGCCGUGGGCGCUGGAGAACUGAGGGGGGCUGCUCCUAGUACGAGAGGACCGGAGUGGACGCAUCACUGGUGUUCGGGUUGUCAUGCCAAUGGCACUGCCCGGUAGCUAAAUGCGGAAGAGAUAAGUGCUGAAAGCAUCUAAGCACGAAACUUGCCCCGAGAUGAGUUCUCCCUGACCCUUUAAGGGUCCUGAAGGAACGUUGAAGACGACGACGUUGAUAGGCCGGGUGUGUAAGCGCAGCGAUGCGUUGAGCUAACCGGUACUAAUGAACCGUGAGGCUUAACCUUACAACGCCGAAGGUGUUU
rnacentral:rRNA from 1 species